CACCAACUCCUUAAAAGAGAUUGACAAUCUGAAGAAGUAUAAACACAUGGGGCCUAUAUUUCCUGAAAUAAGAGAUGAUGGCAGAUGCUCAGCUGGCACUGACACAUCAGGUAACCAUCACUCUGGGAGGACAGGUACUCUCUGAAAACUGAGCACUUUUAAUAAGAUUGAAAAGAAAGUGCUUAAACACUGAGAUGUCCAAAAAUGUAAUUUGGUUUGCAAAUACAGAUUUUCAAGUUUGUAAUUUUUUCUUCUUUGUGUGCAUCUUUUCCUGCUCUGUCUGAAAACAGAAAAAUGGGUAGAAAGCACUGUGUAACUAGAAUAAUAUGUGUAUAUACACAUAUUAAUUGUAUACAUCUGUAUCAGUCAGCAGGUUAAUAUUUAGAUACCAUUUUGAUUACAUAUUUUCUUUUUUCUUUGUUUGGUUAAGGAUCUUCAGGAGGUUUUCAGAAUACAUGGGCUGGCAUGGAAAGCAAAGCUUGAUUUUAUCAGAUAUAUCUCAAUGCUCCUUAAUACCAAGUGCUUUCAUCAGUGUUUUCUCUAUGACUUGUUCUUUGUAGGCAGCACUUAGUCCUUCAGAGAGAGUGCUGACUGUGGCUGAGAAAUCAUCCUGGAGAGCAGGGACACAGGUAUUUUCCAUUUUAGAUACACAGGCCAAAAUACCACACAUACAUGACCAAACUGACUUUUACUUAGGUACCACAUGAUAGGAAAAGUCAGUCAAAUUGUCAUAUUUUAAAGAAUGAAAGGAAAAUUUGUCCGUCUUGCUGACAAAUGCAUCCCUGUGCCCCAGGGCCUGCACAAAUGUGCUUCCCUGUGCCCCAGGGCCUGCACACCCUCAUCCUGCAAGCAGAGGUGCCUAUAAAAAAGCUGGAGAGGGAUUUUCUAUAAGGACAAGUAAUGAUAGAAUCAGAGGAAAUGGUUUCAAGCUGAAAGACAGCAGGUUUAGAAUAGAUAUUAGGAAGAAACUCUUGACCGUGAGGGUAGCGAGGCACGGGCACAGAGUGCCCAGAGAAGCUGUGGCUGCCCUCUCCCUGGAAAUCUUCAAGGCCCGUUUGGAUGGGGCUUUGAGCAGCAUCUGGUGUGAGGCGUCCCUGCCAUGGCAGGGGUUGGAACUGGAUGAUCAUUAAGGUCCAUUCUGACCCAAACCAUUCCGUGGCUCCAUGUUGCUCCCUGUUCCCCUGUGCCAGAGGCUGCAGUACCCAGAACAUGGAACGGGCUGCUCUGUGACAUCAGCCCAGGGCUGAGGGCACCCCAGGUGCUGUGGGCACACGGAGGCCUCGCUCCCGGAGCUGGCACGAGCCGUGGGCAGCGAUGCUGCUGCUGUGCCUUCUCGUGCUGCUGGCCGCGCGCAGGCCUGUGCAGGGCAUGUGGAACACCUGCGAGUGAGUGGCCCCAGGCUCUGGGAGGGAGCUCGGGCAGCACUUCAGGGCUCCCUGGAGAGGGCCCGCUUGCCCUCCAUGGCCAGGCCACAGCUCCCCAAACCCCCUGGGGAAGCCUCAGUUCCUUGUGGACAGGCACACGCCCCGUGGCCUUCCCUGGAGUGCCGUCCCCACACACCUUGCGGGGAGCUUCUGCUGGAGCAGCAACAAGCCAUAGAGCAGGAUGGAAAUGACUUUCUACUUGCAGAGGGAACUGCGGGGUCCGGCCCUUGACUUCUGAUGAUGAGCGAGGCAUGACGCGCGUCGUGGGUGGCAAAAGUGCCGAGGCAGGGGCCUGGCCCUGGCUUGUCAGCAUCCAAGAUCCCUCGGUUUCAGGCACGGGGCAUCUGUGCGGAGGGUCACUCAUCAGCACACAGUGGGUCCUCACAGCAGCCCACUGCUUUGCUGAGUCCAGGAACAUCAGCGCCAUGCGCCUGCUGAUCGGGGCCACCCAGCUGACUGAGCCGGGCCCUGGGGCCGAGGUGCGCCUGAUUAAGCGGCUGCUGGUUCACAAGGAAUACAGUCCUGCCGACCAGAGAAACGACAUCGCGCUGCUGGAGCUGAACGAACCUGUCCAGUGCAGCCCCUAUGUCCAGCUGGUCUGUGUGCCCAAUGCCACACUGAACGUGGCACAGCUGGAAACCUGCUAUGUCGCUGGCUGGGGUGCCACCACUGCGAGAUCUCAAAAAUCAAGUGAUGUCCUGCAGGAGGCCAAGGUCCACCUUAUCAAUGUCCAGGUCUGCAACAGCAGUGAGUGGUACCAGGGGGAUGUCCAUACCCACAACUUGUGUGCUGGCUACCCGGAGGGUGGCAUCGACACCUGCCAGGGUGACAGCGGGGGUCCACUCAUGUGCAAAGACAACAGCGCUGACUUCUUCUGGGUUGUCGGAGUGACCAGCUGGGGAAGAGGCUGUGCCAGAGCAAAACGGCCUGGCAUAUACACUUCUGUUCAGCACUUCUAUGACUGGAUUCUGGUCCAGAUGGAACUGCUUCCACAAGUAGAGGCUUCUCGGGCAUGGAGUCAUUAUACAACCACCUCACCCUGGACUCAUCCUACAAACGCCCCAUGGCCCACUCAGAAGCCAUGGCCGAGACCACCUCCCACUCAUAAGCCAUGGCCAACAACACGGCCCACUCCGAGGCCAUGGCCAACAACACGGCCCACUCCGAGGCCAUGGCCAACAACGCCGCCCACUCCAAGGCCAUGGCCAACAACACGGCCCACUCCGAGGCCAUGGCCAACAACACUGCCCACUCCAAGGCCAUGGCCAACAACACGGCCCACUCCGAGGCCAUGGCCAACAACACGGCCCACUCCGAGACCAUGGCCAACAACACUGCCCGCUCCAAAGCCAUGGCCAACAACACGGCCCACUCCGAGACCAUGGCCAAAACCAACACCCACUCCGAAGCCGAGUCCGAUACCCACACCAGUGGAAGAGAUUAAGAGCUGCCCAUUUCCACUCAAGAAGCUGAUGGAAUUCUUCACUCAGAUGCAGGAGCUCCUGAAGAGCCUACAGGGAAUUACAGUUUGAGCAGGAGAAUGGACAGGAUCCAGUGCAGCUUGCAUGGGACCAUGCCCAUUUCCUGCUGAGGCAAUGCCUGCUGAUCCAAAGGCUGCCUCAGUGCUGAAGGCCUGCUCUGUCCUGCCCACGUUGCUCCUCUACAUGUGACUGCAGGCUGAGCUGCCCCAGAGGACCUGAAAUCCCCAGUUCCAGCAGAACGUCUGUGACCAGCCCAGUCAGGCACCUCGAGAGGGAAAUAAG